UACAGAGGUCUCAAGCGCUGUUCGGAUUCAUUGGGCGUAAAGGGCGCGUAGGCGGGAUGGCAAGUCGGUCGUGAAAUCCCUCGGCUCAACUGAGGAUCGUCGAUCGAUACUGCCGUUCUUGAGGAUUGCAGAGGAGACUGGAAUUCCCGGUGUAGCGGUGAAAUGUGUAGAGAUCGGGAGGAACACCGGUGGCGAAGGCGGGUCUCUGGGCAAUUCCUGACGCUGAGGCGCGAAAGCGUGGGGAGCAAACGGG
rnacentral:rRNA from 1 species